GCUGAGCUUAGUAACUUGAGCUUGUAACCUAAGUAGGAGCAAUAAGAUGAUUCGGACAACCAGUUCUUC
rnacentral:SRP_RNA from 1 species